AAUCCAAUGGUGAGGGCAUUUGCAUAGUAACUCUUUAAAUCUUUCUCAUGCCUUGUAUAGAGAUUCAUCAUUCAUUUGCUGAAAACUAGUAAUCUCAAGCUGUAACU
rfam:Gossypium arboreum cultivar AKA8401 contig_80482_1, whole genome shotgun sequence.